GAGGAAACAGAAGAAAUCUGCACCUGACCAGCAUUAUAUUAAUUUCUAAAUUUGGAGACGGAUUCAUUUAUGUUAUAUUUGAAAACACCAGUUACUGCCAAUGGCUCAAAGCAAUGGUAACCUGACACAAUACAAAAAGUCUUAAUUUCUGUCAGGAGGGACACCAAAGAAAGCUUCUGCAUUUGGGUUUUUGGAAAAUGCUUGACUUAUGCUGUAGCAUCCUGAAGAAAUCUACAUCACUCACCAUCAUUUUUUUCUGCUUUCCAAACGUCUGUUUCAUUGCAGAAUAUAUUUGUAUAAGGAAUGUUCACAAUAAACCAGUUUCUUAUCCUGAGCUGUAUCUGAUGCCCAAAGCAUGCCAUGAAGAAGAGAACUGCAAGAUAGGAAGAAAUACAAGUCAAAAUCUAAUAUAAAUGCUAAUGUACUUAUGUACUAAAAAUCUAGCAAAAGCUGAAAUAAAAGAUGUGCCUUCAUUUCUAGACCAGAAGUCCAAAUACUUGCUUAUUGCUUUUAUACGUGAAAUAACCUUACAAAAUAAAGGAAGGAUUUUA